UACGUAGGGUGCGAGCGUUAAUCGGAAUUACUGGGCGUAAAGCGUGCGCAGGCGGUUUUGUAAGCCAGAUGUGAAAUCCCCGGGCUCAACCUGGGAAUGGCAUUUGGGACUGCAAGGCUGGAGUGUGGCAGAGGAGACUGGAAUUCCUGGUGUAGCAGUGAAAUGCGUAGACAUCAGGAGGAAUACCGAUGGCGAAGGCAGGUCCCUGGGCUGACACUGACGCUCAUGCACGAAAGCGUGGGGAGCAAACAGG
rnacentral:rRNA from 1 species